GUGCUCCUGUGCCCCGCCGAGGCCGCCUCUCAGGGUGCGCAUUGAGCUGAGUCUGUGUCCUCUUAAUUAGAGUGAUAACAGCUAUCACUUAUGGAAGACAUUUUUUCCAUCUAAAGAGCUAAAUGUGUUAUCUCAUUUAUCCUCACCCUCAGCCCCUAGCUUAGGUCCAGAUGGGCAUUGCUGGAAGCAUGCUGCGGUCUCAGGUAACUAUGGAAGGCGGACAGGGGCACGGCCUCAGGAAAGCUGGGACCGGGGACCCCUCUCCGUUUCCCACGUCUGCGGCUGUGCCCUCAGCACGGAACUUUUGUUUUCUGCCUGACCUUCCAGGUUGAGGGAAACAUGACUGCCUACAGCUCUCGAGCCUCCCGUAUCAUAAGUCGUCACCACCAGCGUGGGACUGGCUGUUUGAAAAGUCCCAGGCAGCUGGAAAUAAGGGUCUACCUCCCGGUGGUGGUAUCACCAGCGUGGAUCACGCUCAGCCUGAGAGGAUGCUGCACUCACAGGACAGCUUCCGGACCCCCCAAGAAUUCUCUCCUGCUGCCUGUUGUCCCAGUGGCCACCACCCCAGGGAAGGGUGCAGAGGCUACAAAAGAGAUGUGGAGUUUAGGGAAAUGAUUUCUGAAAGCCUGGAGCUCCUGGGAACUCACCUAAUGCUUUCUGGUCCGAGAUCAAUAGGUUAGGAGAUCUCUAAGGCCUUAAUUAAACUAAGUCCUUGAGAAGAUAACUAAGCAUCCUUUCCUUUCCCCAGCAUCAAGCAAGGGGUGACUCUUGUGUGUGUUCUUGGAGGGGAAAUUUCCUUUUUUUUCUUUUUUUUUUUCCUUUUCUUGAUUUUUUUCCCACGUGGCUCAGAAAAAAAAUAUGUGUAUUAUUAUAUAUUAUAUAAAAUAUAAUGAAAAGUGUCCCUGUAGCUCCUGUCAUCCA